UGCCUGGCGGCGAUAGCGCGGUGGUCCCACCUGACCCCAUGCCGAACUCAGAAGUGAAACGCCGUAGCGCCGAUGGUAGUGUGGGGUCUCCCCAUGCGAGAGUAGGGAACUGCCAGGCUU
rnacentral:rRNA from 1 species